rnacentral:rRNA from 1 species
AUGGUGAGCUUAUCUGGCAAUCCUAGAUGCUCGUUCUGCAGAGACGUUGAGACAUCGCAACAUCUGUUUUUCACUUGUCCCGUUGCUCUGGUGGUUUGGAGGACGGUCGGGUGUGUGUUGGGCACGGCUCUAUGCCCGAACAACAUUUGGCAAUACUUCUCCUGGUGCUAUGUUUUCCUACCAGAUGGAGCCAGGUUCUAUACCUUUGGCUUGGCAGCCGUGUGCUGGGCGAUCUGGAAUUGUCGCAACCAGGCUACCUUUGAACAGAAACAUCUUAAGACUCCAUUUAACGUGGUAUAUUCUGCUUGUGGUUUUUUGACAUAUUGGGUAAUUUGA